rnacentral:rRNA from 1 species
AGGGAAUAAACCCUUGGAUUCACUCCGAGGGCUGAAGGUACCUGAAGAAUAAGCACCGGCUAACUCCGUGCCAGCAGGCCGCGGUAAUACGGAGGGUGCGAGCGUUAUCCGGAAUUACUGGGUUUAAAGGGUGCGUAGGCGGACUUGGUAAGUCAGAAGUGAAAGUUUGCGGCUCACCGUAAAAAUUGCUUUUGAUACUGCCGGGCUGGAAUCAGGAUGAGGUCAGCGGAAUGUGGCAUGUAGCGGUGAAAUGCAUAGAUAUGCCAUAGAACACCAAUUGCGAAGGCAGCUGGCUAGACCUGUAUUGACGCUGAGGCACGAAAGCGUGGGGAGCGAACAGGAUUAGAUACCCUGGUAGUCCACGCCCUAAACGAUGCUUACUCGACGUAUGAUGCUUGCCAUCGUGCGUCCAAGGGAAACCGUUAAGUAAGCCACCUGGGGAGUACGACCGCAAGGUUG